rnacentral:rRNA from 1 species
UACGUAGGGUGCGAGCGUUGUCCGGAAUUAUUGGGCGUAAAGCGCUCGUAGGCGGUGUGUCACGUCGUUCGUGAAAACCUGCAGCUUAACUGUGGGCGUGCGGUCGAUACGGGCAUCACUGGAGUUCGGCAGGGGAGACUGGAAUUCCUGGUGUAGCGGUGAAAUGCACAGAUAUCAGGAGGAACACCGGUGGCGAAGGCGGGUCUCUGGGCCGAUACUGACGCUGAGGAGCGAAAGCGUGGGGAGCGAACAGG